rnacentral:misc_RNA from 1 species
AGUGGCCUAUAUUGUACAAUAUCUGUCGUCGUGCCUGUUCGGCUCGUGCUUCCUGGUCCAUCAUGUUGUUCAGCAUUUCCAGCUUCCUCUGCAGAUCGGCCGCCUCCGUGUUCUCGGGGUCUUUCGAAAAGCGAACGGAAGCUCCAAACGGCAGUCUAUGAGAAGCGAGUGGCCAGUUGGCUUUUUCGUGCCGAUAAUCUCGGCGCCUCUCAUCUCGAGCUCCGAAUCGAGACUGACCCAUUGUCCGGAACCUUCC